rnacentral:lncRNA from 1 species
GUGGUGGUGCGAGGCUUGCUUGCAGGUUUCCCGGCGGAGGGCGGAGCGCAACCAAAGCAAUUCAAAGGGAACCCCGUUCACACCGCUGUGCCAAUCGUUCUCGGUUUGGACCUCCAGCAACAGUUGGCGCUAGAGGAAGGGAACGGAUCUCAGAGCGAUCGUAAUGGCACGGCGAGGUGGUCGUGGAGCUUCCAAUGCUUCCGGUCGCGGGGCCUCUCGCGCCUCUGGCCGGGAGGCCGCUG